UCAGUUCCUCCCUGUGCUGGGCAGAAGCAGCCAAAUGGCUUCCUUAGGGAUGGCCGCCAAGACUGGGUGCUGUGUGAGACUCUCGUCCUCCGCCCCGGGUAAAGGUCACCGGAAGCUGCUCAGGGGAGGGCACCCACUGUUGAGGCAAAACCGGCCUGGGCUUGCCGUGUUAGCCCUCGGGUGGGCUCUGUCACCUGCAGGAAACAUUCAGCUCCGGGCUACACGCACCCUCAGCCUGAGCUUCUUGCUUCCUGCUUCAGUCUCCCUCCUCAGGUCUCAAGCCCCUCAGCCGUGGUGUGACCUGUGUCUCUGGGGACUGCCUCUGUGCCCUAGAUCAUCAGCUCCACAAGGAUUUAAUUAUUAAUUUGAGAGAGAGCGCUCGUAAGUGUACGGCUGGAUGAAUUUGCAGAAGCUGAACAUACCCAUGGACCCAGCACCCAGAAGUCCCCUUGUGACACCCUCACUACCCCCAGAGAAACCUCUCUCCCGACCCCCAAACCCCUGGGCGACUUCGGCCUGCUUCUAAGCUGACCUUGGCUGGAGCCACGCACUGUGUGGCCUUCUGUGUCUGGCUUCUUCUGCUCAAUACCAGACUGCGUGAAGGAAGAGAGUUCCAACUAAUGCGUCCAAUAUGUGAACUCCUGGAACCCCUCCAAACCUACCCCUCCUCCAGUCGGCCCCGCAACUGCCUCCUUCCAGAAUUGGGCAAACCUCAGCCCUACCAGCUCUCACCAAUCGAUCAGAAAAUGCUGUCACUAUGCCUUGGGAAUCACCCUUUGCCUGCCCUGUUGCUGUGACCUGAUCUGAGCCAACAUUAUCACUGCUGGGAUACUUGUAAUGGCAUCUGGUCUCACCCCCUUCAUGCUAUUCCCAGUACAGUAGCCAGUGAUUUUUAUUAAAAAGUAAGU